UUCUGGUUGAUCCCGCCAGAGGCCACUGCUAUUGGGGUUCGGCUAAGCCAUGCAAGCGGAGGGCGCGGUCGCAAGAUCGUGGCCCCGCACACGGCUCAGUAACACGUAGUCAAUCUACCCUCGAGUUUGGGACAACCUCGGGAAACUGAGGACAAUCCUGGAUAGGUGAUGGACGCUGGAAUGCCUCAUCACCCAAAGCUCCGGCGCUCGAGGAUGGGACUGCGGCCUAUCAGGCUGUUGGUGGUGUAACGGACCACCAAACCUACGACGGGUAUGGGCAAUGAGAGUUGGAGCCCAGAGAUGGGGACUGAGACAAGGCCCCAGGCCCUACGGGGCGCAGCAGGCGCGAAAACUUCGCAAUGCGCGAAAGCGUGACGAGGGAACCCCAAGUGCCGUUGGUCUUUUGAUCGACGGCUUUUCGGGAGUCUAAGAAGCUCCUGGAAUAAGGGCUGGGCAAGUCUGGUGCCAGCCGCCGCGGUAAUACCAGCAGCCCAAGUGGUGGUCGCGUUUAUUGGGCCUAAAGCGCUCGUAGCCGGGCUUGCAAGUCCCUUGUGAAAUCGGACGGCUCAACCGUUCGGCUUGCAAGGGAUACUGCUAGCCUUGGGAUCGGGAGAGGUCGGGGGUACUCCGGGGGUAGCGGUGAAAUGCUGUAAUCCCUGGGGGACCACCAGUGGCGAAGGCGCCUGACCAUAACGGAUCCGACGGUGAGGGGCGAAGGCUAGGGGAGCGAACGGGAUUAGAUACCCCGGUAGUCCUAGCAGUAAAGGAUGCGGGCUGGGUGUCAGGCGCCCUUCGAGAGCGCCUAGUGCCGUAGGGAAGCCGUUAAGCCCGCCGCCUGGGAAGUACGGUCGCAAGGCUGAAACUUAAAGGAAUUGGCGGGGGAGCAC
rnacentral:rRNA from 1 species